rnacentral:lncRNA from 1 species
CAGAUGUGUUUCAUAAAAACAACGAUCGUUUGCAUUUGCUAUACAAUGCUUAGCAGCUCGUUUAUUAGGUUUGUACUUUGGACUUAAAAACAUAGGUAUAGGAAGAUGUGUUAUGAGUGCGUUUGAGACAACUCUCCAUCCAAAUAACAAAUAAUAAAAGUAAACCAUUAUAGGCAAGAGGUACGGCCUUCAACACGGAGCCUUGGGUCACACCGAAUAACAAACUAUAAAGGGUCCCAAAAUUACACGUUUACAACCAUUUAAACGGGAAAACCAACGGUCUAAUCUAUAUAAAAAAACGAGAAACGAGAAAACAUGUAUAAACUACAUAAACAAACCGUGGCGACAACUACUGUACAUCAGAUUCCUGACUUAGGACACGUGCAAACAUUUGCAGCGGGAUUAAACGUUUUAAUGGUACCAAACCUUCUCCCUUUUACUGAGGCAAUAGUAUAAAAUUACAACAUAGAAAAACACACGAUAAAAUAUCAAUUGGAAGGCUUAUAACUCAAUAAAAAAACCUAAAUUAACACACUAUUAACGAAUAAAUUUGAGAUGCGAUACCUGAAUAAAUAUACAUAGGUUUUCAAAUUCUACACAGGUAAAUACAAAUAAUUUUGUCGUUAAGUAUACUAAAUCUUCCUAUUAGGAAUACCAAGAAAGUUCUGUAUUAUAAAUAAAUAUAAUCUAACAUUUGGUGCAUAUGGGUCAAUAUCAACAAUAAAUCUAUACAAUAAGAGCUAGAUAAAAUUUCCUGUACAGAUUCUAUAAGGUGAAAUGGGAUAAUUUUGAUGUUCAUAGUACGAAGCAAAAAUAAGUAGAUAUUCCAAAUAAUUAUCAAAGCUAGUAUGUAGACAAGAUCCAUAUUAAUAAACAAAGUAACAAAAAAACAUUACAAAUAGUAUCAACAGGUCAAAGAAAGUACGAUUUGAGAGUACUCGCAGUUACUGACAGCUAGUUAAAAGCCAAAACAAUUAAUGAUAAAAAAAAUCAUGCAUCAGAGACUAAAAUCAACUAAAACACAUCCCAGGGAUUUAGUAUUUUAACGUCAUGAACAGUGAGAGAAGACAUGACUUGUGCAAUGCCAAAAAUAAAUGUAUCAAUAGGUAGUAGGUUAGUGACGAGCGAAUUCUUCAGAGAUAACAAUUAACGUGUGUGUGUCUAUACAUCCCGCUUAAAAAGAAAAUGCUAUUUAGUUAUGUUUUAAUUUGCUAAUGAUACAUACAUUUGAACAUAUCGGUCAAUUAAUAUUGGUCGGUGUAUAUUUUUUUUUUGAAAUAUCGUGGCUUGCAAUAAGUUCGACGUGUUCAAAUUGUGUCUUCUGCACUAGCUGUUUUUUUCUUCUCAUUGAAUUUUGAACACUAGUCGGAGUCUAUAUUCUAGUAACGCGUGAAUAAUAUGUGCGUUUCAAAGCAAGAAGAAGUGUCGGAACGAAAGCCUCGGAGUCCGUGUUUUUCGUUUCUGUACUUUAGUUGCAUGAAUGAAAAAAACAAGACCUCCAUGUAAGCAUGCAUCUAUUAUGUCGUUUAUUUAUAAUACCAGUUUUAUUCGGAUAAAAGACUCAAAUGAUAAAGUCAAAAUUUGUAUUUAGUUUCACAUUGUAAAUAGCUUAAACACAUGAUGAUGUUUUUAUUUAAAACUUUUCUUAUUUCAGGUACUACGCCUGGGACUAUAUUUUUGGGUGCCAUCAUUGAUAGUUCGUGUGAUUUGUGGCAAGAUACCUGUGGUAAAAAAAGGGUUCCUGUUGGAUUUAUCGAAAAUAUGACUUAGUAACCAGUCUAAUGACUUGGUGGAUAUGUUCC